AUUAGUGGGAUUAAAUUAUGAGCCAUGGGCCUGGGGGUGAGAUUGGUGGAAGGGAGGUGUAAGGCUCACGAAAAAGAAUGAAACAAAAACGAUGCUUGGGCCGCGACCCCAGUUUUCCCCAAAAAAAAACGGGUUUGAACUCUCUUGACAUGUUGAAUCCAUGUCCACACGUUCAGGGUUCUAAGAACGCGAUCCAAGAUUUCAACUCUUCACUUCAAGGAAUCCAUACCCAACGGAAGCUCCUUCUCCUCUCAAAUCGGUUUCGCACGACAAGCAAAAUUACAACGAAGAUCUCCAUUCAUGAAGAAACGAGAAGAACAUCGUGGAAUUCGCGUCUAGCCUCGUCGCUAAAUCGAGUUCGAAAUCAAAAUUGCACGUGGAUGGACAAAGACGACGUGAGAAACUCACUGCGACGGCUCCGGGUCUCACUCUCCUAUUCAACGAUGCUUCCGUGGAGGGCCGUUGACGUUCUUAGAUUCGCUCCUAUUACGGUUGCGUGUUGAGGACCAUUACGGUUGUUCUGAGAUGAAGAGUGAUGCCGAUCACGAAAUUGCUUCCUCCGGCGAAAACGCAGACAUGUUCGGUUAGAAGAGGUUUUUUAAUGGUGAAGCGUUUGGAACGGAGAUUCACGGUGGUUCGCUCUUGGAGGGUGGUUGUUGGUUGGCUGGAGGAGGUUAGAGAGGAGGUUUUAUGGUUCUGUUAUAUCAGUUUGUUGCAGGUUGUUGGAAAAAUGGUUGAGGAAAAAAUCCAAAUGAAUUCCGUGCGGUUGGUUACAUUGAGCCAAGUGAGGGUUGGUUGAGGUCUCGUUUUGUUGAGAUGGAGUUUGAAGAGGGAUGUGAGGAUGAAGAAGAUGGUGAAGGAGUGAGGAGCCAAAAUUGUGAGAGGGUGGAGGGUCACGAAGUGAAGUUGAGGAGAGUCGUUCUUAGUUGUGAAUCCUAGGCUGCAGGGUGAGGUUAAGCGUUUUGAGAAAAAAUAUGGAAGAAGGUUCGAGUUAGUUCUGUGGAGGUUUCCGGAAGUGAGUUUGGUUGAAGGGUUUGGAAAUUGGAGGAAGUUAGCCGUGGAGGUUUUUCGAAGUGAGUUUGGUUGAAGGGUAGUUAUAUGAUUACCGUUGAAAAGGGUUUAUUAGAGAAGUUAGUUUAAGAAGUUGGUUAAAAAUUCGGUUAUCGGGUUUGUUACGAAAAUUCGGUUAGAAAUGGUUGCCGUUCUGUUGCGUAAUUGGUCAGUUUUUGAAAACUGGUUAGAAGUGGGAUUUUGGAGUUAGAGGUUCUGUAUUGGAGAGUUGAUCCAGAAGGUGAUUAUGGUCGGUUAGAAGUGAGAUUGAAGGUUUUAUUGAAGAUGGAUUGUCAGGUCUGAACUGUGUACGGGAUGGACGGUUUUUGUUAUGCAGGAUUUGGUUAGGAGGUUUUGAAGGGUUCGGUUGAUUGAACAGGGGGGGUUUGUAAGAAGGAAGAUUACAAUUCUGUUACCGAUUGGUGUCGUAAGAAUGGUGGUUAGGAUUCGGUUACGGUGUUAUGGCUUGUUGCUUUUCGGAUGUCGGUUUCGUUGCGGUUUCAGUUACAUAGUUGUGGAAGUUGGAGAAGCCGAAACUAGUUCAAGAGGUUAAGGUGAGUUUUUUUUCUGAAUCCUGUUAUAUUCUUUUCAGUUUCUGCUAUGCUGUGAUAUGCCAGAAACCAAAACAGGAUUGUAAUAAAUUAUGUAUUAUGUGGUUCAGUUUGGAAGUUUGUGGUGGUUUGGAUUGUUAGCUGCGUUUUGCGGUUACGGUUGGUUAUUAUAGGGUUUCAGUUAUGUUAGGAUUUUGUUCAGCUGGUUGAGGUUUGGAUUCAAGGUUUUGAUUGAGGUUCUGUUAUGCCCAGUUUGUUAGCCGUUGUUAAUUAGUUCUCCUGAAUUCAAGACAAGCUGCAUGGUAACUGGGUUUAUGCUAGAACUCUUCACGGUGGUCCACCUAAAGACGUAGCCUCCGACAUGAAUAAUUGGAAGUACCAUUUCUCUCUUCCAAUACAGACUUGUCACUCAUGGUGUCUUGAGACUUACAGUUUUCGAGAACUAGCUCAACUACCGGUAUCUUUACAGCCUUUACAUUUGGUGGCAAUUGUAUGCUUCUGUCAACGUACCCUGCCCUCAUAUUGUAGAGUAUGUAGUGGUUUAAUACAUUAGAAUGACUUAUAAAAUUGGAUAUACGGUGUGUUGUAACAAUGAAUGUAAGGUUGACCAAAAUGGAAAUUGAGUGAUUUCUGUUAUAAUUUGAAAUUGAAUUGGAAGUAUUGAUAUGUGAUA